rnacentral:pre_miRNA from 13 species
CUGCUCUAUACUUCUAAAGAUUGUCUCAAAGUAACAUCUGAGGUAGUUUGGAAAUGCUGUCGACGCAUUGUGAUGUCAACAACAUUUCAACUAACUCGGCUGUUUCAUGAGAUU